CUGUAAAUAUUUCUUUUGAUGUAUGUAUUGCAUAUAAAUGUAUGGACAUGUAAAUGGGUCUUGAGCAGCUUAUACAAAAUUUGUAUGAAGUUUAUAAUAAAGUUUAGUUUGUAUUUCUUUUGAUGUGAAUUUUGUAAGGAUGUAUAUAAAUUAUUUUGUCUCUAAUGAAACAUGAGUACAACUAUUUUAUUUAAUUUAAAUGAAAUGUGUUGCUAGUAUGCUGAGGAUUAUUGAAUUUUGAACUUGAGAAAUUUAUUGAAAUGAUUGUGAAAUUGAUUGAGUUUGAUUGUGAAAUUGAAGUAGUAGUUGAGAAAUUUUUUUAGAAGUGCUUUUUACAGGU
rnacentral:misc_RNA from 1 species